GGACAUCUAGCUCAGUUGGUAGAGCAUGGUGUUUGCAACGCCAGGGUUGUGGGUUUGAUUCCCACGAGGGGCCA
rnacentral:tRNA from 1 species